rnacentral:rRNA from 1 species
CCUACGGGCGGCAGCAGUGAGGAAUAUUGGUCAAUGGCCGCAGGGCUGAACCAGCCAAGUCGCGUGAGGGAUGACGGUCCUAUGGAUUGUAAACCUCUUUUAUCAGGGAGCAAAGGGCGCCACGUGUGGCGCUUUGCGAGUACCUGAAGAAAAGGCAUCGGCUAACUCCGUGCCAGCAGCCGCGGUAAUACGGAGGAUGCGAGCGUUAUCCGGAUUUAUUGGGUUUAAAGGGUGCGCAGGCGGAAUGUCAAGUCAGCGGUAAAAUUUCGGGGCUCAACCCCGUCGUGCCGUUGAAACUGGCGUUCUUGAGUGAGCGAGAAGUAUGCGGAAUGCGUGGUGUAGCGGUGAAAUGCAUAGAUAUCACGCAGAACUCCGAUUGCGAAGGCAGCAUACCGGCGCUCAACUGACGCUCAUGCACGAAAGCGUGGGUAUCGAACAGGAUUAGAUACCCCAGUAGUC